UUCCAGUUGACGAGUCCCAAAUAGGACGAAACGCGAGUCAAACUGGAA
rnacentral:hammerhead_ribozyme from 1 species